UCUUGCACUUGGAGAUGACUACGUAGUAGAUAUCUCUUAUUAAGACUGAAUUUUUUUACCCCCUGGUACUGACAUACAAUUUCUUUCAAGUCUAGGGCACAUCGGAGUUGAACUUGGUGCUUCUGAGAAGCUAAUUUUAAGUUCCUGUGCAUGGUCUGAACAUUUGCCGGGCCCUAAAACUGCAUCUCAAUAUUGGCAGCCCCUUCCAAGUCUCCGGAAGGUAUUUUGAUUCAAAGGAAGCUCUGUUUGGACCGGAUGGUCUGGUGCUGGCCAUUUUCAUUGCACAGUGAGGCAUAAACUGUGCUAAGAGACUCGGGACAGACUGAGCAGUGAUGAGAGCACCAGCAGGGCCAGAGCACUGCAGACCCCCUUCAAGAUGAAAGCAAGAGAAUUUGAAAAGUCUAGAAAGAAGCUAUUUUGCAUUUAUCAGUUUGCAGAGCUCUCUGAACAUUCAGCUCAUUUCGUCCUCCUGCCACCUGGCCCUGGGAGCUGCAGCUGCAUCUAUGAUGCCCAUCUAGACUCCACCAGGCUGCAGCGCCACCUGUCUGCAGAACAGAGCUGCAGAGAUGACUACCACUGAUAAGAAUGCAUCUGUGACCACCUAGGGAUGCCCAUUCUGUCCCAGACACUGCGCUAGCACUUGAUGCACACAUGACCUCAUUUUCUUCACAACUACCAUAUAAGAUGGGGGUCUCAUCAGGUUGCACAAGCUGAUCUCAAACGCCUGGCCUCAAGUGAUCCUUCUGCUUUGGUCUUCCAAGGUGCUAGGAUUACAG